rnacentral:sRNA from 1 species
UAGUUCUUAUUCGAGAAGACCACGUGCC